GAUGAACGCUGGCGGCGUGCCUAAUACAUGCAAGUCGAGCGAACGGACGAGAAGCUUGCUUCUCUGAUGUUAGCGGCGGACGGGUGAGUAACACGUGGAUACCCUACCUAUAAGACUGGGAUAACUUCGGGAAACCGGAGCUAAUACCGGAUGAUAUUUUGAACCGCAUGGUUCAAAAGUGAAAGACGGUCUUGCUGUCACUUAUAGAUGGAUCCGCGCUGCAUUAGCUAGUUGGUAAGGUAACGGCUUACCAAGGCAACGAUGCAUAGCCGACCUGAGAGGGUGAUCGGCCACACUGGAACGGAGACACGGUCCAGACUCCUACGGGAGGCAGCAGUAGGGAAUCGUACGCAAUGGGCGAAAGCCUGACGGAGCAACGCCGCGUGAGUGAUGAAGGUCUUCGGAGCGUAAAACUCUGUUAUUAGGGAAGAACAGAUGUGUAAGUAACUGUGCACAUCUUGACGGUACCUAAUCAGAAAGCCACGGCUAACUACGUG
rnacentral:rRNA from 1 species